GCACUUACCUGGAUGGGGUCUAUGAGUGAUCAUAAAGACUCCUGGCCUAGGUUGUUGAACUCUGUUGCCCUUUAUGAGGGGCAGCAGCUUAAGAUCUCCAAAUUGGAGAGUCUAUGUCAUAAUUUGUGGUAGUGGAGGCCUGCGUAUGCGUUGCCUCUAU